UGUACGUUCAAGUUCGUGGCCGACGCCACUUCCCGUGCGAAAUGAAAAAUUCACUUUUUGCGAUAAUAGUCGAGUUUCUGUGAUAUCCUGGAAUAUCUCAGAAAAUCGCAAUAAAUCCAAAUGAAGAUAAAAAGGUGCGUAAUCACACUUGUGAAAUUCAAAGAUAUCUUUAAAUAUCGCAACGACGCAAAAGACAUGAAUAGCUCGUUUGCGAUGUUCUACGAUUUUCCAUGAUAUCGUAUUAGGCGAGUUCGUUCCGGCUUGAGAAAGAACCUAGUGCAAAAGAAUUUGAUACGCAUGGGUCGACCUUUGGAUAUUCUGCGAUUUUUUUUUCAACAUUUAAAAUUAAUUGUAUUAAAAUUAUCCGAAUUUGAAGCACUGUUAAGUUAUGCAUGACAUUUCUAAAACGCAUAGUUUUAAAGCGGCUUAUAAAACAAUAGAAAUAAAACAAAAACAGAAAAAGUAAUAAACAACAUUUGACAAAUUAAAUAAAUAAAACUCUUCUAAAAAUAUAAAUACAGUGGAACCCCGGACACCCUCGAGACUUUCAUAAGUCUCCGUAUCAUCGGGGUGUCCGUAUUAAGCGGGCUUUGUUUUGUUUUACUUCACAGUACGACUUCGUCUUCUGGAAGAGGCGACUGGAAAUAAGAAGUCACGUGACUUCUUAGUUCAAGUGUAAUUUUUCAAAAAGUAUAAUAAAUUGCACGAGCCCGUAGGGCGAAUUUGAGACUCUAUUUAAAGCACACGAGCGCAAUUACGAAUCGUAUGAUCACUUAUAAAUAACACACAAAUUAGUAAAGUCAAGUUUUUGUUUGAAACACAGUAAAACAGCGCGCUUUUUUCAAAAACUGGUGUGAUUCGUCCGUGGAAUUGGACAUUGAAUCUCAAAAUGAUCAUAAUAUAUUUUUUGUUUGAGUGUUUUUUGCCCAGUUAUAUUUUUGCUUAUUUUUAUCACCCGAUGAGUGUUUCUGUCCCGUCAAAUUUUGCCUUUUUUCGCUAAUUGUUCACUCGGUUAUUUCCUCCCUCUGAUUGAUGUUGCGCUAUAUCCUUCGAGGUUCACGUGGGUAAAGGUCAGUUAUUAAGAAACUCAUAAAUAAUCAUAUAGAACCAAAUUAAUUCCGGCCCGCUGUAGACUUAUAUCAACAUUGUGAAUCAAGCCCUUAAAUGAUACAAACUUUUGCCUUUUGCUUUUAUUGUUGUCAUUCUUCUGACAGGUAUUGAGAUUAGUUGAUCGAAGUGUUACCUGGAAUGCCGAGCCUACGACGCUCCCCGUGGAGAUCGAUGCUCGAAAAGCAUCGAUCUCCACAGGGGCCGGGGUCAAAAAUUCCGUUGUUAAGAGCGUGCGGCUUGUUAUGACACUAUCUUACGUUCUGUAAUCAACAUCACCCAAUCAGAAUCCGCUAUUUUGCAUACGUGAUUCACCCCUUGCUGGCUGCCUGGGAUGUCGCCGACUUGUACUGGUUUUCGUUGGAUUGUACCGGUUGCAUUUUCUUAGCAAAUCUCCGUGAUUUUAGGGAAUUUUAUCGAAUUUUAGUGAUCAAAUCAAAAUGAUCUCCAAGAAAUUUGUUGUUGUGGAGUGGCUGAACAACGCAGAGGAUCGUUGCGAGUUAACAGUUCUCAGGGGAAGUGAAGUUUUGCGCCAGGGUGGUUUGGUAUCGGUGGUAUUCAUUGCAUUGCAGCAGAUAACACACCAAGACUUUACGAGGCAGAAGUGUUGCAAAACUUCGACUCACAGCGCAAGGCAAGCAGUUUGAAAACGAGCUGCUUGAGGGAGGCAACGACAGCGUUGACCGAGGUAACAUUAUAAGAAUAGGAAAAUCCACAGAAUAUUAAAUGCAUUCUUCGCAUCCCUUACGUGAAUGUUUUUGUUAGUUAAUUUACCUUCACACAAUUGAUAAUACUUUGCUAAAAUAGUAUAUUAGUGUUAAUGUAAUGUUAUAUACCUAGAAGUAACGUAAAGUAAACACUUAAGGAUACUGUAGACCCGGGCGGUAAUUACCCCGAUCGUCCCGGCAAAACGCGCUUAAUUUUAAGUGCUUUUGUCUGGUCCAAAGUGCUUAAACUUAAACAAGAGGUAAAAAACCUGAAAAGAAAACUCAAGGUGAGUUUACACCGUGUGAUUAUGCUGAAGUUGCAAUACUUAUGACAAAAACGAAAUGGUUGUUGUUGCUUAAACGGCGGCUUCGGUAUUCUGAAUCCACUCCCUGGAUAUGAGGAAUUUGGCUCUCAAACAUAGGAAAUAUUUAGGCACAAAUUCAAAUUCGGUACUUUUCUCGUGCCCGGCCUGGAUUUUAUGAUUUUGUUAAUUAUGUAUCAUAUAUUAGUAGCCGAAUGCAGUGAAUAUAACACUAUCAGCAAGUAGUUUUGGAUUUUUUAAAGGCUGUGACUGUGCGGUUUUUGCACAUUGUAAUAGUCCUCUCCGCUGUUAUCACAUAAAGAAUAUUGUUUUUUUUUUUUGUAUUUUUUAUAGGUUUACAAAGAUGUUCCUGCAGAGGAUCAGCCCAGUCCAGUGGUGCAAUGAGGGGAAAUUACGGAAUGACUGAUGAGAAAAUGGACCAACUGAUUAGAAAUCAGCAAAAAUCCUUAAAAGACAAAACCAAAAAAGUCUUCAGUAAAGCUAAGUGAAAUGUCCAUUGUUGGUGUAAAAUGUCCGCUUAAGUAGGUUUUUUAAUCAUGGAGAUAUUUUAGCUUGCCUUGCACUUUUUGUUGUAUACCAACUUUUUGUCGAAUUUGGUUUUGUCUUUUAACGAUUUUUGCUGAUUUCUAUAACGUUAUAGAAGUCACUGUUCACGUUGUAUCCGAAAAUUAUAAAGUUGAUUAUCAAAUUUUGAGAUAAUUGUAAAUUUGUUCUGUAUUCUAAAAAUAAAAUUAUUUGCUGGAAAAUAUUGCUAGCUAUUUGUAAUAAAUUACCGGAUAUCC